UCAGCGCCGGGGGCGAGGGCGGCCGGGCUGGCUGAGCCCGGGGGUUCCCUUCCCGCGGGGCUCGCGAGCCUCGCCCUCUGGGUCUUCACCGCCCCCCGGGGCGGGGGCGCCGCCGCCCCCCUCCCGCUCCGGGCGCCGCUUGCUGCGGAACCCGCGGAGGGUGUGGGAAGUUUUGAUUUGGGCCGGGCGGGGUCUGGAGCUCGCUCUCGGCGGUGGUGUGAGGUCACCAUCUCUGGAGCAUUUGAGGAACGUGAAGAAUGCCCGAGACUGAUCGGGGCCGGUGGUGGUUGUGUUGUAGUUUUCUCCUGCGGCCAGCCCUCAGGAAAAUCUCCCUGGAAGGACAACUUGGUAUCACAAAGUUACUUGGUAGGCAUUGGACUCUGAUGAUUUCAAUGGGAGCAUGUUCAGACGCAGAAGCUGGUGUGGGGGUGGCCAGCCCCAGGUAGAUGGCUCCAGCCCAGCUGAUGCCAUCUCCAGCAAGCCCACUGCAGAAAAGCCUUGCUUCCAGACAUGUAUCUGCUGCCUAAAAGGGAGUUUUCUAGACUAAAAAAUCAGUCUUUACCUCAACUAUUAUCUUCUUCUCCUUGAACACAGGUAACUCACAGGAGUGGAUGUUUCUGACAUUACAUGGUAAAAGAGGAGAAAAGAAAACAAAGUCCAAGUAAGUCUUCUGUUUUCCUCGACAGAUUAAAUAUGAAUUAAAAACAAUGCAAAAUAAACUAGUUCAUUCAUUUUCUUUUUCUCUCCUCUCUCUCCUCCACUCCAUUUUCUUAAAGCCUGUAUGUAUCA